CUGAUGCCAGAUCAGGAACUCAUUGCAAACCAACUCAGGUUUCGUGUUUACUUCUGUUCAAGUGAUAAUAACGUCUUUAUCUCUGAAACCUUGUCCUUGUCGACCUCUCGUAUUUUGUUUAAGUGUUAUAGUGUAUAGUGUUUAUCCACAACAUACACUGCACACGGAACACAGCCGGUUGAGGUCUACCCCAGUGUAGAGGCAUAGGCUACAUAUGUUAAAAGUUGUCCCUUUACGCAACCUAUUGGCCAUCAUUGAUUUAAGAAGGUAUGCGAGGAAAACUGUUUCGACAUGAUCUUGGUCAAACCCAGGUUUCGCCGUUGUAUCAACGUGGACAUUGACCUGACCGAGUUGGCUUGACACACUCUCCUCAAAUGGUUGUCAAAACACAAGGAGUUCAACUUGCGAAGCGGCAAUAACGUAUGCAAUGGAGUUCAGAAAUCUCUGCUCUCUUGAGACUUUCAGGGACAUUUGCAGUCCCAGUGGUUAUUCGGAAAACUUGGAAGACGUGAUCAAAAAUGAGUUUACCAGGAUUAAAGGAGUCACCUACCUGGACCACGCAGGCGCAACUCUGUAUCCCGAAUCAGCAGUGAGGGAGUUUUGUCUCGACAUUUCAAAGAACGUAUAUGGAAACCCCCACAGCCACAACCCCAGCAGUACAUUAACCCAUGACACUGUUGACCGUGUCAGAUACAGGAUACUGCAGCACUUCAACACCACCCCUGAGGAAUACUCCGUCAUCUUCACCUCCGGAAGCACAGCGGGCCUGAAGUUAGUGUCGGAGGCCUUUCCGUGGAGCGCCCCAACUGCCACCGAGCCAGGCAGUCUAUUCUGCUACCUGACCGACAAUCACACCUCCGUGGUCGGCAUCCGCGGCCCGGCCUCAGCGCAGGGGGCUCUCCCGAUCCCGGUGUCCCCCAGCGAGGUAGAGGGCCGGGCGAGGGCCGGAGUGGAGGGCGUGGGGGGUCAUGACGGCCCCGCUGCCUGUCAGACGCCACACCUGUUCUGUUACCCCGCACAGAGCAACUUCUCUGGCAGGAAGUACCCCCUGGGUCAUGUGCGGGGCAUCCGGGCCAGACGCCUCUACCCGGCGUGCGACCACCCCGGCCGCUGGUUCGUCCUGCUGGACGCCGCCGCGCACGUGGGAUGCUCCCCGCUGGACCUGCAGAGCUGCGCCGCCGACUUUGUCCCGCUCUCCUUCUACAAGAUGUUUGGCUUCCCCACGGGCCUGGGGGCGCUGCUGGUGCGAAACCAGGCCGCGGCCCGCCUGAAGAAGUGCUAUUUCGGCGGGGGGACAGCAGCUGGCUACCUGGCUGGGGAAGAUUACUUUGUGCCCACAGCGAACGUCUGUGACAGGUUUGAAGACGGCAGUGUUUCUUUCUUGGACAUUAUUGCCCUGAACCACAGCUUUGAUGCCCUGCAGAGGAUCACAGGAGGAAUGGACCACAUCCAGCCGCACGCCUUCGGCCUAGCACGCUACACUCACAUGCUGCUCUCCAGUCUUUGCCAUGGUAACGGGCACCCCGUGGCUCAGAUGUACACCCAAGGCCAGUUUGACAGUCCAGACACACAGGGGGCUAUCCUCAACUUCAACCUGUUGGACUGCCGUGGACACAUAAUUGGUUACUCCCAGGUGGAUAAACUGGCCAGUCUUUACAACAUACAUUUGCGCACGGGAUGCUUCUGCAACACCGGGGCCUGCCAGCACUUCCUGGAUAUCACCGAUCAAGAGGUGAAAAACAAUCUCAAGGCCGGCCAUGUCUGUGGAGACAGCAUAGACCUGGUGGACGGCAAGCCCACAGGCUCCGUGCGCGUCUCCUUCGGCUACAUGUCGACCUUCGACGACUGUCAGACCUUCCUGAGCUUCGUUGUGGACUGCUUUGUCGAGAAGCCGCCCCGAGUGGACCGAGUGAGGCUCGAAAACCUACGACAAACAAAGACUGGGCCUUGUGGAAACUCGCAUCAGAAACGUUCAAUUAAACUGUCGGCCAAUGGCGGCAUUAAGCAGGAAGUUGAAACGCGCAGACCAGCAGAACCAUCACUGGAGGGAUGUGUACGACCAAGUAGCGCUGUAGACACGACCCUCCCGAAGAACCCCUACACACUGACCCACAUCUACAUCUACCCUGUCAAAUCGUGUGCGGCAUUUGAGGUGUGCGACUGGCCGCUGGGAGCCUCCGGGCUGCUGUUCGACCGGAGCUGGAUGGUGGUCAACGGCCACGGGGUCUGUCUGAGCCAGAAGAGGGAGCCGCGCUUGUGCCAGAUCCUACCGCGGGUCGAGCUCCCCCUGGGGCAGCUGUCACUGAGCGCACCAGGGAUGGAGAACCUUUCGGUACCGCUGGAAAGCGCAGCUACGUUGAAGACAAUUCAAAGGGUGUGUCAAAGCAAAGUUUGUGGUGACAGGGUGGAGACAGUGGACUCCGGGGACGAAGCCGCGACGUGGCUCUCCGACUUCCUGGGACAGCCCUGCCGUCUGAUACGACAAAGUCCUGAUUCUAUCCGAGGAGGGCAGAAAAGAUUGAACACAGCCUCCACUGCUGUGCUUUCCCUUGUGAAUGAAGCUCAAUAUCUCCUGAUCAACCAGGCCAGCGUGGACCUCAUCCAGGAACAGAUUCGAAACAGGAAUCCUCGGAAGACGGCCAGCCUCUCGAGAGACAGGAUCUCAUCAGCCGCUUUCGAGCCAAUUUGGUCAUUGCUGGAGUGGAGCCAUUCGAAGAGGAUUCUUGGUCGCAGCUGAUCAUCGGAAACGCUCAAUUUCUUGUUGGAGGUCGAUGUGGAAGGUGCCAGAUGAUCUGCGUGGAUCAGGACACUGGGGCUAAGAGCAAGGCUCCUCUUCUGGCUCUCUCAGCCUGCCGCUCGGGGAAGCUGACCUUUGGAGUGUACCUUAGCCGUCAGGUUCAGGGAGACUCCCCCUCAGCCCGGACUCUCUCUGUCGGCUCUGCUGUACUGCACAGAACUUUGGAUCUCUCCUUGUGAUUGUGUUGUCCGAAUAUUUAUUUGCAUAUGUCUUUUCACUGUAACCACUUCAAACUUUCUCCUGCUGGCAGAGUCCUAGAAAAUAAGGGUUUCUUUGCAUGUACAUUUUGCUAAUUCUAGCCACUUGUUUUUGUCAAGUCACAGAAACUAAAUCAUUGAUCAUGCACACACAAGUCCCUCUCACGUCGUAGGUGGUUAUAAGAACACUCCGCACGAGGAGUUUUUUUAUCAAUCAAUCAUUACAGCUAGUUCAAACCAUUGACAGAGUCAAAAGGUGGACUUGCUAGUUGACUUCUGAAUGAAGUCAUGUAAGGACAUGUAGGCUAUUUUUACAUUGUCAAAUCACGUACUAAGUUAAAUUAUAUUCAGAAAUAAACUUCUAAAAAAGGUUUUGCCGAUCAACAAUUAUCGAACAAACAUAAAAGUAUUUAUAUUGAGCUGUCGCAGAAUGUUCCACAUGCUGUAUAUCUUUAUUUCUGCAACAGAUAUGUCCGUUUUCAAGGGAAUUCCACUUUUGUUUACGCUUGGUGGGUCUCUGAGAAGGAAGAAAUAGCUCAUUACUGUCCUUGUAUAAUUCACGGUAGGCAAAGAAAUGCAACAGUUUCUAAAAGGUUUUGUGUGCAAUGGACACUGCCUGUCUAGGCAGUCUACAGUUUCAUUAUCCCGGUGGGAAAUUCUGGAACCUGUUGAUCUGUCUAUUACUCUCUGCAUAUCCGAUUGUGAAACUGAGUCAAAACCUCAUCUCCGGGUGUUCUGGAACAGGAUGCCCCCAAAAAUUAUAAUUUAAAUCCACAAACAACAUAUGUGUAAUCCAGGGCAUAAAAAGACUGGGACCAGAAAAUAAUGAAUUUCCCUCCAUUGAGCAGUAGCACCGAGAUCGUUCAUUGGCCUUCUGCAUGCACCACCGCGACCACUGACAUGCCAUGGUACAUGCCGUUCAGGAACGGCACGUGCCGUUCAGGUGGAACGCUAACUGCCAUUCAGGAACGGUAACUUCCCUUACCAACAAUGACACCAGCACGCCCAGCCUCCUCCGUAUAAUUUCAAGACAAGUAUUGCCGUAAAUGUAAAGCUAUAUAUAUUUGGUCUUUAUUGACACCAUAUCACACUCCAUAAAUAAAGGGAUUCAUAUGUU